UUGAAAGAAGUUUUGUUCGCGUCUUUCAUAUUCAAUUAACGAGUACUUUUUUUGUAGAAUUAGCUAUAUUUUAUUACGAAAAGCUACCCUGAGUUGUAUUAAUCUCUUUUGAAUUAAUUAAAGCUAUUAAAUUCAUUCAUGUGUGGUUCUACGUGUAAUAUAAAAACUGGUUAUCGCCAUUUUAAGAUUUUACCAUUUUACUUCAUUUUCGGUGCAUUUUUUUAUUUUAAUUCAUGUUAUAUUUCAUUUUGCAGUCAGUUAAGGUGAUAAUACAUCCAUUAUGUAUAUGCAAUGUGCUAAGGAGUAUUCGUCAUUCCUGUCGUCCCUUUUUUGCUCCAGGAUGUAAUGGUAAUGGCCUAAGGAAAGCAGGGAAAUUGCGUUCUUUCUACUGGAAAUACAGACAGAUUAUUGUUGUUGCUGAAAGAAGGAUUUAUGACAAUGAACCAGUGAGAGAAAAUGGAAGUCAAUUUUGAAAUUUGGAUGUUUCUUGGACUUGUUGCUUGAUUUGAUGAUGACGUCUUGACUAUGCAACAUUUUACUUCAAUUAAUUUUCCACCGAUGAAUAAGUACAGCUGGGAACUAGGUCCUACUGAAACAACGAUUGCAAUGGUAUCGUUCUUCAAUUUGGUUUGCCAUUUGGAAACUUGGAAGUUACAUUCUGCAGUUAAUUAAGAUCGACGUUGGAGAAGACAAAGAUGACCCCGUAGUUGAAAU
rnacentral:lncRNA from 1 species